GGCGGCGUGCUUAACACAUGCAAGUCGAACGAUGAAGCCCAGCUUGCUGGGUGGAUUAGUGGCGAACGGGUGAGUAACACGUGGGUGAUCUGCCCUGCACUCUGGGAUAAGCCUGGGAAACUGGGUCUAAUACCGGAUAUGACUCCUUGCUGCAUGGCGAGGGGUGGAAAGUUUUUCGGUGCAGGAUGAGCCCGCGGCCUAUCAGCUUGUUGGUGGGGUAAUGGCCUACCAAGGCGACGACGGGUAGCCGGCCUGAGAGGGCGACCGGCCACACUGGGACUGAGACACGGCCCAGACUCCUACGGGAGGCAGCAGUGGGGAAUAUUGCACAAUGGGCGAAAGCCUGAUGCAGCGACGCCGCGUGAGGGAUGACGGCCUUCGGGUUGUAAACCUCUUUCAGCAGGGACGAAGCGCAAGUGACGGUACCUGCAGAAGAAGCACCGGCCAACUACGUGCCAGCAGCC
rnacentral:rRNA from 1 species